UAACAGCUCAAAUUUGAAAUCUGGCUCCUGUGGGGCCCGAGUUGUAAUUUGUAGAAGAUGCUUUGGGUGUGGGCCUGGCCUAAGUUCCUUGGAACAGGACGUCGUAGAGGGUGAGAAUCCCGUAUGCGGCUGGCGCCCGCGCCCAUGUAAAGCUCUUUCGACGAGUCGAGUUGUUUGGGAAUGCAGCUCUAAAUGGGUGGUAAAUUUCAUCUAAAGCUAAAUAUUGGCCAGAGACCGAUAGCGCACAAGUAGAGUGAUCGAAAGAUGAAAAGCACUUUGGAAAGAGAGUUAAACAGUACGUGAAAUUGUUGAAAGGGAAGCGCUGGCAACCAGACUUGGGCGCUGUUGAUCCGUUAGGGUUCUCCCUGGGGUACUCAGCAGUGCGCAGGCCAGCAUCGGUUUGGGGGGUUGGAGAAAGGCUGGUGGAAUGUGGCUGCCUUCGGGCAGUGUUAUAGCCACCGGUGGCAUGCAGCCUCCCCGGACCGAGGACCGCGCUUCGGCUAGGAUGCUGGCGUAAUGGUUGUCAGCGACCCG
rnacentral:rRNA from 1 species